AUCCUUUUGUAGUUCAUAAGUGUGAUGAUGGGUUGUUCAUGCUCUUGUGUGAGAUAUGCCUCCCUCAAACCUUGCUACCACAUUGGAAUAUUACCCGUCUGAUG
ensembl:snoRNA